UUUGGCACGCUGCAGUUUUCCGCAGCCGUGCAAAGGGGUCAAAACUGCGCAUGCGCGCUGGUGGCAAUGCGCAGGCGCUUUGCCGUGCAGUGACGAAAUGGACGAAGAAAGCGUUCGCAUUGGCGAACGCUAGAAGAUUGACAGGAGGAGGCCGGCCGGGGGUGUCUACUCACCGUUUUGAAGGCGUGUCCAGUCAAACGCAGGCAUGUCCAGCCGUCUCCAGGGAGGGUUCUUGAUGUCAGCUCCGGACAAGAUCAUCGCAGCGGGAUUAGAAGAGAAUUCGUCUGUUAGAAUUUCAGUUGAAGGGUGUUUCGGGGUGUGAAUCAAGCGUUGACAAAGCUACCUCAAGGAACGACCCUUACUUGUGGGUGUGUCACCGGAGUGCCGUGGGCAUGUAUCAAAAGUUUAGGGGGAAGGAAAGCCUGUAUGGGAUGGAUCUCUUGCAGCUUGCAUGGGGUUGGCGCAAGAAAAGGCACUAAUGAUGACAGCUUUGGCGGAACACAUGGAUUGAUCAGUCACACAGAGGGGUCUACAUCAGCUGGCAAGUUGUCAGCCUCCCCUGGGAAAUACUAUUUGCUAGUUGUCAGCCUCCCCUGGGAAAGAAAUGCUGAAUGGCUAUAUAUUAAUUUAUGCAGCAGGGAAACAAUUAAAAAGCUCAGUUUCAUGAUUCUGAAAUGCUCUCUCCACGUUCUGUAAUUACAGAGGCUUCACAGAGAGGUAUAACCGGAGACUGUAAUCAUUCUCUGUUCUGCCAUGCAGUCAUUUCCCCUUUCUUCCUGGGCUGCAGUA